AAAGGGUUUCAUAUCUAUGGGUUGUGAUAGGCUUGGCGAGCCAACUAAAAACUAGUCAGUCUUUUGGGUAUGAAACCCAUUUGGGCGAGAGUAAUACUAGGAUGGAUUACCUCCUAGGAAGUCCUCGUGAAAGGGUUUC
rnacentral:rRNA from 1 species